GUUCAAUUGUGUUUUCACUGCGAAUAGCUGAAUUGGCUGGUCGGAUCAGGCAUGUGCACUUUGUAUAUUGUAUUGAUGCUGACACUGUGAUGUCAAUAGCUAGUGAGAUGGCAGAGGAGCUUGAGUUGUUGAAUGACGAUGUGGCAACAAUAGCUGAAUUGAUUACCGACUUCAUUUUCAAACUCUCAACAAUCCAGAAAUAUUCUUUUGGGAGUUUGUCUGCAGUGAAUAACUUAUCCGAUGAUUCAACUUUGAUAAUCGAAGAUCCUAUUGUCUGUGAAGGCAUUACAUCUUUGAAUCAAGGGAUAGCAUCAACCUCAGAUGUGGAG
rnacentral:misc_RNA from 1 species